AGAAUUAUAGCUUAUUUAAAGUUUUUUAUUUACAUUAAAAGGAAAAUGCAACUUUGUUUUUAAUUCUA
rnacentral:tRNA from 1 species